AGGGGCGGACCAUUAGAAAUCCCGGGACGGGGGGGGGUGAAAAUUCCCCCCCAAAAAUUCGUGCAAAGGAAAAUGCCUGGAAAAAAAUUCGUGCAGCCAUUACGUCAGAGAAAAAAAAUUCGUGCAAGCAAACAGCGAAGUACAAAUAGUCUUGAAAAAAAAUUCGUGCAGAGGUUAAAUGCAUUAAAAAAAAUUCCUGCAGAGACACGAGAC
rnacentral:lncRNA from 1 species